AUAGACGCUGGCGGCGCACAUAAGACAUGCAAGUCGAACGGAAGUCGUUAAAAAUGGAUUGACGAUUUAUCAGAUUGAAUUUUAACAAUGGCUUUAGUGGCGGACUGGUGAGUAACACGUAAGCAACCUGCCUAUUAGAGGGGGAAUAACAGUGAGAAAUCAUUGCUAAUACCGCAUAAGCUGAUAGUAUCGCAUGAUACAGUCAGAAAAGGAGCAAUCCGCUAAUAGAUGGGCUUGCGGCUGAUUAGCUAGUUGGUGGGGUAACGGCCUACCAAGGCGACGAUCAGUAGCCGAGUUGAGAGACUCUACGGCCACAUUGGGACUGAGAUACGGCCCAGACUCCUACGGGAGGCAGCAGUCGGGAAUAUUGCGCAAUGGAGGAAACUCUGAACCGCAGUGACGCCGCGUAUAGGAUGAAGGUUUUCGGAUUGUAAACUAUUGUCGUUAGGGAAGAAAUUUGACAGUACCUAAGGAGGAAGCUCCGGCUAACUAUGUGCCAGCAGCAGC
rnacentral:rRNA from 1 species